CCUGGCUUGGAGACCUGACCUGGAAGGCUUGUUCUUCCCAAGAGUAUGACUCUCCUGUCUGGCCCAGAUGGUGGAAGGGGCAAAGGUAUGUGACCACCCUUGGGAAGGUGAUGUUGGUGAGCUUUAGUAUCUUAUUCCCAUUCCCAUUGUGAAAAACUAAGAUGAGGUAUUUUGGUACAGGAAUGGGCAGGGGCUGUUAAGCGUUUCAACUUGCCUCCCAUGUAACAGCUAAUGCUAGCCCCCAGCCCCUCCUCUCUGGCCCUGUUCUUCCAUCCCUCCUUCUACCCCAACCUUGGAGAACAAGAUACACCUGACCAUCAACAAACACCAUUCACAUUCCCUUGGUUGAAGGAGAGGAACAGAGAACAGAAGAUGCCUCCUCCAAGAUCAAAUGCUCAUGUCUCUUGAUCUUGGCACAGGGUGGGGGUUGGACAAUAAACAUCAGGUGACUUCUCUCUACAAAUUCUAGAGAGCUGGAGCAUUAGACUUGGGGGACACCUACAAUAUCCCCCUUUAACACCACCAAAUAAAGACCUUUGUCGGGGUGGGGGAGGGUCUUUUUCUUCUGAACAUAAAUUAUGAGUCAAAGUCUCAUUCCAUUGUCCUCCUCACCCCCAAGAGGCAUGGGGUAAAGAGGCUUGGGUGCACAGUUCAGCAACCUAGUGGGAACUAGCAACCCCUCUCCCACUUUAUGAUGUGUGUGGACCUGGCCAGUGCCCCUCUGAUCAUUAGUAGUGUAAUUAUUAUUUACUUUGUGUAUUUGUUACACCAUGUGUGUGAUUGCCUUUGUUUGUUAAGGGUGACUGAGGAGUAUGGGGGUGACAGGGGCAUUGGAAUGCCGGGAAAGGACUUCUUCACUGAGAUCAAGGCUUCCUGGAGGGAACCAUUGCAAAAAGGCCAUCAGGCAGUUUUCAAGUUAUGUGACAGAGGGCAAAGAUGGCCAUAGGGUGCUCUGAGUUUUGGGAUGGUCACAUGACACAAUCCAGCACUUGAACCUGAAAAAAAUAAAUAAAUAAAAGCAAAGAGUUUAGAA